GUACCACCUGGCACAGGCUAUUUUACAGAUCCGCAAGGCUGUGGGUCAAAGCGAGACCUUCAUUUCGUAAUAUCAUUUGGUUGGAUCUUCGCGAUCGUCCCAAAUGUGGACGACCUGGGUGCGCAAUUUAUAAGUGUGGGGACUGCGUUCGCGCUCCCUU